UUAUGUGUCUUUAUUGGCGUGGAUAUAAGUCUUUCCCAGUGUGUCAGAUAGCUUAUCAGACUGGUGUUGGCUGUUACAUUCGCCCGGCGACAACAGUCUGUAGGCUGUCUGACAUUUUGGGCAUUUUCUUCUCCGAUUAAAAAUAUGA
ensembl:miRNA dre-mir-21-1 microRNA 21-1